rnacentral:rRNA from 1 species
UCCUUGGUUUGAAAGCUUCGGUGGAUACGGAUGAGCUCGCGAGACAUUAGUUAGUUGGCGGGGUAACGGCCCACCAAGACCGCGAUGUCUAGGGGAACUGAGAGGUUGGUCCCCCACACUGGAACUGAGACACGGUCCAGACUCCUACGGGAGGCAGCAGUGAGGAAUAUUGGACAAUGGUCGGAAGACUGAUCCAGCCAUGCCGCGUGAAGGAUAAGGUCCUAUGGAUUGUAAACUUCUUUUGAGUGGGAGCAAUAAGGGUAUCGUGAUACCCGAUGAGAGUACCAUUCGAAUAAGCAUCGGCUAACUCCGUGCCAGCAGCCGCGGUAAUACGGAGGAUGCGAGCGUUAUCCGGAUUUAUUGGGUUUAAAGGGUGCGUAGGCGGUUUUUCAAGUCAGCGGUGAAACGCAAGGGCUCAACCCUUGACCUGCCGUUGAAACUGUUGGACUAGAAUGCGGAUGCUGUGGGAGGAAUGUGUGGUGUAGCGGUGAAAUGCAUAGAUAUCACACAGAACACCGAUUGCGAAGGCAUCUCACAAAUCCGUGAUUGACGCUGAGGCACGAAAGUGUGGGGAUCAAAC